GCCUACGGGGCGCAGCAGUGGGGAAUAUUGCACAAUGGGGGAAACCCUGAUGCAGCGACGCCGCGUGAGUGAAGAAGUAUCUCGGUACGUAAAGCUCUAUCAGCAGGGAAGAAAAUGACGGUACCUGACUAAGAAGCCCCGGCUAACUACGUGCCAGCAGCCGCGGUAAUACGUAGGGGGCAAGCGUUAUCCGGAUUUACUGGGUGUAAAGGGAGCGUAGACGGCAGCGCAAGUCUGGAGUGAAAUGCCGGGGCCCAACCCCGGAACUGCUUUGGAAACUGUGCAGCUCGAGUGCAGGAGAGGUA
rnacentral:rRNA from 1 species